CUAAGACUUAAUAUUGCCACGAGACCGAUAGCAAACAAGUACUGUGAAGGAAAGUUGCAAAGCACUUUGAAGAGAGAGUUAAAGAGGACGUGAAACCGGUAAGGUGGAAACGGAUAGAGUCGGCGUAUCAUUCAAUUAUUCAGUUACAUUAUUUUUAUGUUGUGACCUCUGAGCUCCAGAUUGGGACAGAGGGAAUCAGCAUAAUUUUUUGUGGUGCAUUUACUUGAUUGGUGCUUGGGGAUGUUUGAGGCAGAUUUGUUUCCGUCGUUUUGAGGCCAGCUUGCUGGUACCCAAACGGUGUUAGCAUUUUUUGUCUUGGGCAUUUGAGUAUGGCUCACGUGUAUUUAUUGGACAGAUCUGAGUGUAAGUUACGGUCGCAUGCGACACGUGCUUUUCAAUUAGUUCGGUCCAGUUAAUGCUCUCGUACUCGUUCCCCAUGUAAAAGCCGGUCAUCUAUCCGACCCGUCUUGAAACACGGACCAAGGAGUUUAUCGUGUGCGCAAGUUUUUGGGUGUUAAAAACUUAAAAGCGAAAUGAAAGUAAAUGACUCUUUAGAGUCUGAUGUGCGAUCUUGUAAAAAAGUGUAGCAUGGCCCCAUUCUAACUGUUUACAGUAGGGUGGCGGAAGAGCGUACGCGGUGAGACCCGAAAGAUGGUGAACUAUUCCUGAGCAGGACGAAGCCAGAGGAAACUCUGGUGGAAGUCCGAAGCGGUUCUGACGUGCAAAUCGAUCGUCUGACU
rnacentral:rRNA from 1 species